AGCUGCAAGUUAUGCUAAGGCCUUGACUAAACCUUCCCAGAAAUCUGAAUUGCUCUUUGUAAUGCAGGCAAACAGACUGAGAGUGCCAAUAAGCCUUUGAUUGAAUCUUGAUUAAUGUAAAUAUGUUAAGCCUGUAGGUGCCAUUCCAGCCCAGGGAGCUUCUUACAGCUUUUAACCAUGUCCACAUCAGAGUUAGAGCCUUUUGCUCCAGAUAAUUUCCAAAGACCAUCUGAAGAAUGUUUGGACUCGCUUGUGAAGGAUCAGGGAUAGAGACAUUUUCUGAAGCCCCUGGCUGGCUUGUUUGCAACACCAUCCCAAUAAAAAUUAAGCCCUCAGACACAAACUUAGGAAAGGAAAGAAGAAAACAGAAUUCUGAUAUAUUUCACAACCGUACUCUGAUCCCAGGAGAAGGAUUGGGUAAGAAACACUGAUCUUUCUUACAUAUCUGUCUGCAAAGUUUUCAGUAGUUCUCUUUUACUAGUGAGCUCUCCUGGAUUAAGUGAGCAAGUUGCCUAAUUGUUUCAGUGGAGUGCUUUAACUAAUUGGUUCGCAUCUAAGCAACAGAGAGGGGAUGUAGGAGCACAGCAUUUAACAAAGAGGAAAAUGAGAUGUGUGGAGGGAGAAGGAAGGCACCAUGAAGUGUGGUAAGUUGCAGUGGGAUCUAGAUGGCUGAGACAGAUCAAAGUACUGAGUUCUCCUCCUGGCUCUGGUGUUUGGUAACAUCUGGUGCCUUAGUACCUGUUUUGAUAGCAAAAUUUGCAGAUCUUCAUUUGCCAAGGAAAUGUGCUGAGCAUGCAUACAUGUGUGGAAUGGGACAAGGCAGCUCCAGCAUUGGGGCCAGCUUCUUCCAAGGAAAAUCUUUGUGGGAAUAACCUUCCUGAUCUACUUUGAUCUACUGAUCUACAAUACUUACUUCGUAGGGAUUGUGCCUCUGAGCAAACACUGACUACAAAGACAUGUGAUGAGAAAGAGGAAUAACGGAAAGGAAACAUCCUUCCUGCUGUCCUAUUACAUGUUGGAGCUCAGGAGCCAGGGAGAGCCCACUUGGGUGCUUGACUUCUCAAGAAUUGCAGAAUAGGCCUGUGCAACACGAACCUGUCUGUUUUUAAUGGGAUGUGUCCAAGAAGAUGUGUCUACUGGAAGAACCUUUAGCAGUCAAAAAGGACUGAAACAUUGAGAAGGACUCUUCAGGCUGAGAUACAGUGAAGAUGCAGCCCAAAUGACCUUGAUGAUCUAUUAUUAUCUUCUUCCCCCUGAGCCACGUGUCAGCAACCAUAUGUGUGUGAGCAGCUGAAACUGUCCUUUGAACUCUCCACUGGCAGACUGACAGAGUGGGCAAGUGGACAGCAGGCUGGAGUUGGGUGCAGUACCUCUCCAAGUGGCUGACCAGCUCUGUCACCUCAGACUAGCAUUUCCAGCUCUCUUGAUCCUGGAAGAAAACAACUUCACUUGAAAAUAUGAAGCCUCGAGGGUCCAAAUAAGAAAACAGAUGAAAAAUACUCCAAAUACUUUUGGCCUAUAAUUAACAAACUUGGGGCCCAAGAAGGUUUAUGCUGAACUCUCAAACAUAAGCUGUUCAAAUGGUUUGAAAUAUUGAGUGAAGCAUGUUCAUCUUUCACUAACUGGAGUAAAGUGCCCAGGAGUGGGACCAGUCACGGUGGAAGCCACAAGGGAGAUUUCUGUAGAUCAGAUGGGAAAUCACUGGAUGCCCUGAGGACUGGGCCUGAUCCAAGCCUCACUGAAAUCCAUAGAAAUGAGUGGACUUUUCCUUUACAUCAGCGAGCUUUGAAUUGGCUCCUUCCUCGCUCACUAGUAAUGUCAGGAGCCUGUGAUGGGUGUUGGAGACAUUUUGACAGAGCAGUUGGGCACAACUGUGCGUUCCUUUUUAAUCCUGCCCUCUGGCGAUCUUGUUAUUGGUGUAUGGUGAUGGCUGGAGUCCUGAGAUAAAAUUAAAUGGGGAGCAUAACAAACUGGAAAACGCAUACUGAUUUAGAAGUGAAUGAGACCAUUCCCAGAAGUGCUGAAAUUCAAUGGGAUUUAGAAUCCCAAGGACCCUAUUAUUUAGGAAAAUGGACCACAUGCUUUCAAGACAUUUGGGCAUCUCUGAAAACUUCAUCCAUCACUUCUAUGGAGAGCAGUGUAGACCUUAUGUAAUAUCACAGGCAACAGCCAGAACUGUUGAGAGUAAAACCCACAAAAUGGCUUGAUCUUCUAUUGUUUCUGAAGGUGUGAAUUUCUCUUUUCCUGAUAUUAAGUAACUUUUGGAUGUUUUCCUUUUCUGUUAAAAAAGGAGU